GAUGUUUGCAAUCACAUGUUUCCUUGGUGACGUAGCCUUUGGAAAUUGUAUGUAGGUCCUGCAGCUGAGACGCAGGAGAUUUUGGUAAAAGUGACUCCAACCAUCCCCUGCCUGGGAGCGAGCCUGCUGUGAUCCUGGCUCAAGAGCAGACGGUCAGGGGUGGCACAGGGAAGCCAAGUGACCAAAUAGGCUGCUAUUGCCUGCAGCAGCUGUGCAGCGAGGAGGAGAAGGCAUCGGUGAAAAUCAUGGUGACAACCAUUAGCUGUGCUGAAAAUGUUAGCACUGGAGAAGACCUUGGUGGCCCUCAUCAAAACUUCUCAUCAGCUGAAGCCCUGGGAGAGGCUCAGGGAUUCUCUCAAGCUGGUUGAUUGUCAAAUGACGUAUAUAAGACGUGGGCACAACACACUCUGAGGGCAAUGAAAUACGCUUACCUGCAUCGGGCUGGCUGGCUCUUGUGGACCUGAUCUCACAAUCCUCGCUUCACGGAGGUCUCACUUUCUUCUGUAGUGAAGAACAGGAACCGGAGAGAAGAUCCCUUUGGCAAAAGGUCUUUAGUGUCACUGAAAAAAAGCAAAGAUUAAAGUUUAA